rnacentral:rRNA from 1 species
UACGUAGGUGGCAAGCGUUGUCCGGAUUUAUUGGGUUUAAAGGGUGCGUAGGCGGCCUUAUAAGUCAGUGCUGAAAUAUCCCGGCUUAGCCGGGGGGGUGGCAUUGAUACUGUAGGGCUUGAGUGUAGUCGAGGUAGGCGGAAUUGACGGUGUAGCGGUGAAAUGCUUAGAUAUCGUCAAGAACACCGAUAGUGUAGACAGCUUACUAGGCUACAACUGACGCUGAGGCACGAAAGUGUGGGGAUCAAACAGG